rnacentral:rRNA from 1 species
AGAGGUGCUUGCACCUCUUGAGAGCGGCGGACGGGUGAGUAAUGCCUAGGAAUCUGCCUGGUAGUGGGGGAUAACGUUCGGAAACGAACGCUAAUACCGCAUACGUCCUACGGGAGAAAGCAGGGGACCUUCGGGCCUUGCGCUAUCAGAUGAGCCUAGGUCGGAUUAGCUAGUUGGUGAGGUAAUGGCUCACCAAGGCGACGAUCCGUAACUGGUCUGAGAGGAUGAUCAGUCACACUGGAACUGAGACACGGUCCAGACUCCUACGGGAGGCAGCAGUGGGGAAUAUUGGACAAUGGGCGAAAGCCUGAUCCAGCCAUGCCGCGUGUGUGAAGAAGGUCUUCGGAUUGUAAAGCACUUUAAGUUGGGAGGAAGGGUUGUAGAUUAAUACUCUGCAAUUUUGACGUUACCGACAGAAUAAGCACCGGCUAACUCUGUGCCAGCAGCCGCGGUAAUACAGAGGGUGCAAGCGUUAAUCGGAAUUACUGGGCGUAAAGCGCGCGUAGGUGGUUCGUUAAGUUGGAUGUGAAAGCCCCGGGCUCAACCUGGGAACUGCAUUCAAAACUGUCGAGCUAGAGUAUGGUAGAGGGUGGUGGAAUUUCCUGUGUAGCGGUGAAAUGCGUAGAUAUAGGAAGGAACACCAGUGGCGAAGGCGACCACCUGGACUGAUACUGACACUGAGGUGCGAAAGCGUGGGGAGCAAACAGGAUUAGAUACCCUGGUAGUCCACGCCGUAAACGAUGUCAACUAGCCGUUGGGAGCCUUGAGCUCUUAGUGGCGCAGCUAACGCAUUAAGUUGACCGCCUGGGGAGUACGGCCGCAAGGUUAAAACUCAAAUGAAUUGACGGGGGCCCGCACAAGCGGUGGA